rnacentral:rRNA from 1 species
AAGUCGAACGGUAACAGGCGAGUGCUUGCACUUGCGCUGACGAGUGGCGGACGGGUGAGUAACGCGUAGGAAUCUACCCAGUAGAGGGGGACAACUUGGGGAAACCCAAGCUAAUACCGCAUACGCCCUUCGGGGGAAAGCAGGGGAACCUUGUUCUUCGGAACGGGACCUUGCGCUAUUGGAUGAGCCUGCGUUGGAUUAGCUAGUUGGUGGGGUAAAGGCCUACCAAGGCGACGAUCCAUAGCUGGUCUGAGAGGAUGAUCAGCCACACUGGGACUGAGACACGGCCCAGACUCCUACGGGAGGCAGCAGUGGGGAAUAUUGGACAAUGGGGGCAACCCUGAUCCAGCCAUGCCGCGUGUGUGAAGAAGGCUUUCGGGUUGUAAAGCACUUUAAGUGGGGAGGAAGGCUAUCUGGCUAAUACCCAGGUAGAUUGACGUUACCCACAGAAUAAGCACCGGCUAACUCCGUGCCAGCAACCGCGGUAAUACGGAGGGUGCAAGCGUUAAUCGGAAUUACUGGGCGUAAAGCGCGCGUAGGCGGCUUGGUCAGUUGGAUGUGAAAGCCCUGGGCUCAACCUGGGAACUGCAUUCAAUACUGC